GGCUCCCUCCCGCCCCCGCCGCGCCCUGCGCCCCGCGCCCGUGGCAGCCCGCUCCUCCUCCUCCUCCCUCCCGGCUCCAAUCCCCACGUUCCGCCAGCUCCCCACCCCUCGGCCUCCUCUCCUCCCCACCUUCUCCCGUGAACCCACACUCACAAAGAGCCGAGGGGAGAGAGGGUGCGCAGACGGCCAGCGGGGCCGCGCCAGGGACAUAUUGGAGACAGGAAGUGGCUGAGAGUGGGAGAGAGAGUUGGAGAGAGACGGCCGCGGAGGACACGGGGACGGGAAAGUCUGAGAGACGGGGAGAGCCUGACCCGGCGGGACACAGGCAAAAAGAAACACGCGAGCCAGACAGACGCAGAAGAAACGGUGGGCGUAGGGGUCCAGAAGGGACUAGGAACAAGGGGACAGGGAACUGCCGCGCAGCCUCAGCCUCUCACCUUCCUCACAGGAGUGUGCCUGGGCUUGGGCCUGACCUGAGAGGACCACCCGUGGCCUAGCCUGGUGGUGCUAGCGUCCCCUACCCAGGCAGGCGCCUGAAUCAGUGCCUGGUACUGGAUAGGAACUUCAUGGAAUGGAGCUAAUGGGCCGUAGGGCAGGUUUGAGUCGUGCCACCCUGGAGCGGGUGAUAAGGGGGUAGAGCACCUGAUUCCAAUCUUGCUGCAGGGAAGAGGAGUCUGUGAAGAACUGCAUGAUGACUGUGUGUCCCCCCCACCCAGAAAUUGGCAUUUGGGAGGGGUGGAUAUGGUUGGGACUGGGGAGCCUUGAUCUUACUGCUCUUGGUUGAGUUGGUGUCCAAUAGACAGUUUCAGAGGUUAGAGCAGUGGGAGUCACUGGGGACUGGGGAUGGGAGAGGUGGGGGCGGGGGAAGCCAGGCGGGAAAGAGUAGGGAGGCACUGGGAGGAGGGGAGAGGCAAGAGUUAGGGGAAUACCAAGGAGAGUGGCAGGGAUUGGAGGUUCCUGGAGAAAGGGCAAGGCUGAAGAUUGUCCCAUGUAUUUUGGCCAGAUUUGAUUAUGUAAUCGAGAUACACGAGAUAAUUAAAUGUGUUCAUGUCUUUGGA